GGCCGGUUGGCCCAAUGGUAAGGCGUCUGACUACGAUCUUGAUCGAGUGGUAAGUUAUCAGGAGAUUCUGGGUUCGAGCCCCAGGCUGGUCA